rnacentral:lncRNA from 1 species
ACCAGUUAAAAUUCCGUCAUGGCAUCAAGAGUCAGCGAGGCUAUGUCCAAGAAGGACAUGAAUGCUAAAAUAAGAAAGAGAGAAGAAGUCGGACUCUGUAAGUGGAAUUUCUCGACUAAAACUCGACAAUUUUUCGAUUGUCUUUCUAUUUUCUCUAUCUAUCUUCUAGUCUGAGAUGGAUACAAAAAAGAGAGAGGCAAUUAACGUAAGAGAAUGGGUUGACAGAACUUUUUUGACAAAAUUCAUUAUUUUUCUUUGUCUUUCACUAUGUUGGAUUUGAAACGAAAAGAGGAAGAGGGGAGAAAAGGUCGGAGUGGGGGAGAAAGAAAAGAAGGGGGAGGUGCGGGGCAAACGACAAUGGAAAAAAGGAAAAAAGAAACAAAAAAAGGUUAGGGGAAUAAUUGUAUUACUGAUUUGGGUUGGGGUAAGGUAGGACGGGGGCUUUUUUUUUCAAUUGCAUUUUUUUAUUUUAGAUUUUUUAAAAUCGUACCUAAUUUACGUGAUUUGCACACUCAUUGUCCACAUCAUCUCUGCCACUACCAUAUGUGCAUGGUCAACUGUCAAAUAGGUUUAUUAAUUACCAAGUACGUGAGUUUAAAUGUUGAAAUGGAAAUGAUGUAAGUUUGUGUAUCGGCUUUACAAAUGAGAGCAAGUUUAAGUGGCCAGAAGGCCAUUUCACCUUUAAAGAUUACAAGGUAAAUUAGUAAUUUUUUUUUUUUUUUGGGUUUUCACUUGGUAUCUGAUACCCGCAUUGGGGCUUUAUUAAAUGGAUUCCGGAAAUCCUGCAUUAAGGAUAAAAUGUUCUUAUGACUUGAAUCCGAGACCUCUAGUUAAAGAUUAAGUAUAUGAUAGACUACUUUCUUAAUUUAGAGAGAUUCUGCAUUGCAUACUAUUUCCUUAUGAUUUUUAUUAAAAAAGAGCAACGAAGGGUUAAUUAAUUGAACAUCAGUUUCAAGCUAAUGAAAACUGCUUCAAGUUAUGGACACAUCACCAACACCAGUAUAACCCUAGGAGUAAACUCCAGUUUUAACUUUUAAACUAAUAAAUCUUUCCGGAGCACCAAAAAUAUCCACCAUCAAAUUCACUUAUAAGGAAAAAAAUCUUUAUAGUAUCAGUAUAUAUAACUUUUAAGGACUAUGGAAGCUCUAAGGUUUAAUUCGAAUGAGUUAUGCUAUCGACGAGAAAAAAAAACAUUGGUUUUUCCGGAUAUUAGAGGCUGGCACUGAUGAAAAUGAAUUCCUUGAUUUAUGACUAUGAGGUAGGCUCAGUGGCGGAUCUAGGAAUUAAAGUUUGUGGGUGCUGAACUUUUUUUGUUCAUAAAAUUAAUGGGUGCUUUUAUAAAUUUUUGUACGUUUUCUCAAAUUUUCUAUAUAACUAUACAUACUCUGCGUCGAGGUUAAUGGGUGCUCGAGCACCCAAUUUUUGUUAGUAGAUCCGCCCCUGGGUAGGCUACCAGUGAAAAAUAUGAAGAGAAAGGGAAUUGCAGACUGUAUGAUCUAUCUUAAAGAGUAAAAAAGAGAAGUAGAAGUGGCAGUUUCUCUUAAAUAAUCUGAAGGAAAAGAUGAUGCUGGGACACGUACAGUUUGUGGGCUUGAAUUAGCUGCUGUUAUUAGCAGUUAGUAGCACAGUCCUUUAUUAAUUCUGUUGGUCUGCAGAAGAUUUCAGAUUGUAUGGGAUCCUCCAUUUAUGAUUUCUUAUUUAAACUGUGGGGUAAUGAGGUAAUCACCCAUUUAUGAUUCCUGCCCUAUAUUUGGUUUCUUUUCAAGCUGAAAGAGGGAGAAAUUGGGAAAUGUAUAUACAGUUCAUAAUUGCUUAACCUAGGGAUUUACUUGUUGAAAAUUAAUUUCAGCAACUUGCGAGAUUUAAUUUGUAGCUAACUAGGGUUCUAAAAUUAGGUGCUUAAUUGCGCAAUUAUGACCAAAAAUUCAGUUAUGAUCAGCUUUUGGCAUGUUAUGACUUUAGCCAGCUCUAGCUACUCCUAAUUAAGAAACUUGCCGCCUGUCAAAAACAUCUUCUUAAUUGUUUUAAUUAGGGUUUAACGGUGGUUAAGGGGAAUCUCCAGACAUUUUUCUUUCUCUCUGGAGACCAGUAGUCGUGUCUAAUGUUUCAGAGGUGAAUCCAAGAUUAAAAGUUAGUGAUUUCAAAGUAAGUCUGAUCUUAUUUUAUGUACAUCUUUAACUUAUUUUUGUGUAUCUAUACAUAUAUGUAGUUCUAGCGGAAAACACAAGACACGACUAUAUUCGCCUCUCAUUAUGUUUUUCUCUUUGGAGUGACCUUUCUUGCAGGGCAGCCAAGGGCGAAGCUACAUAUCUUGAAGGAUGGUCAAUUGAUCACUUUUGUUGCAUAUAUAGGUAUUAAGUUUUAGAGGUAUAUAGAAUAUAGUAAAUACUCUUUAUCAGAUUUUUUCCCACUUCCUUCAAGUUUAAAUAUGGUUGAGUAAAUUCAUAGCUUUGCCACUGAGGGCAGCAAGCUAAGAUUUUUAAUUAGCAUUUUAAAUGUAUGUUGAAUUUCUGCAGAUACAGUGUUACUUUUCGUUCUCCAGUGACCGAAUGGAACAGUUGUUUGGGAUUUGAUAAUUCUUCUUGUCCUUUUCUUUUACAGAAGUUGAACUAUAACGAUUUUUGCAAAAGAUUGGUGCUUUUGAGAACUUAUACAUAGUCUAUUUCAGACAUUAGUAAAUCUUACGGACCAGUGGAGUUCCUUUUUACCCUUCAAUAAACUGCAAGACGUGAAGAAAUUAAUUAAAAUGAAAAAAUUCCCUGAUAUUGAAAUAGCUGGUUUAAGUUAGUAAUGUCCAAGUUGCUGCAUGCAAAUCUCACUGCAAAAUAUGUAGAAGUGGU